rnacentral:rRNA from 1 species
UACGUAGGGUGCAAGCGUUGUCCGGAAUUAUUGGGCGUAAAGAGCUCGUAGGCAGUCUGUCGCGUCGGUCGUGAAAACUUGGGGCUUAACCCUGAGCUUGCGGUCGAUACGGGCAUGACUGGAGUUCGGUAGGGGAGACUGGAAUUCCUGGUGUAGCGGUGAAAUGCGCAGAUAUCAGGAGGAGCACCGGUGGCGAAGGCGGGUCUCUGGGCCGAUACUGACGCUGAGGAGCGAAAGCGUGGGGAGCGAACAGG